CCUCUUCUUCAUUUCUUCACUCAAAAUUGUUAUCUCAAUCUCAAUUCUCAAUUUCUCAAUUUCUCUCUUCCCUUCAAUUUGCAAGAUUUCAUCUUCUAAUUUUAUAAUUUUAGUUGGCUCUCUUUUCUUGAAUUUAAUUUAUCGAAAGUUGACAUUCGGAAUUUGAAGUUUGAAGUUCAAAAUUGAUAUACUUGCUUGACGUUUGUUCGUGGUAAGUAGUAUUAGAGUUGGAGCUGCUAGUGCUACAAGGAGUGGUGAUCGUGGCACCACUCCUGGUAGACCACCUGUGGCUCCAACUUCUAUUCGUAGAAAAAGAAGUAAGGUUUGGAAGUUUUUUUUGAAAUAGUAGAAGGUACUGAUAGAGUUAGGUGCAAAAUUUGUAACGAUACUUUUAAAUAUUUGACUUGAGGAAAUUUAGGUGGGACCGGGAAUAGACAUAUGAGAGUUGACCAUCUCAUAGAAUGGGGCACUGAUGGGGAUGGAAAUCAUACAACUAUUAACCCUACUACUGGAGGUCUAGUAAAAUAUGAUAAUAUGAGGGAUCGUGAUGAAUUAGCAAAAAUGAUUGCUUUGGGUUGUCUACCUUUUUUUUUUUGCUUUUUUAUCGUAUCUUAUUAUGUAUAUUCAAAGGAUUCACAAUCCUUUAUUUAAAGGUUUCCCUAGAAGUACUUGUAAAGCAGAUAUCUCUAGACUUCAUGGACAAUAUCAAGCAUACAUACGUUAUUUGUUUAGCCACCUUCCUUCUACAGUAUGUCUAACUUCUGAUAUUGGCCAUGUUGUUAAUGGAAAUGAUUAUUUGACAAUUACAUACCAUUGGAUAGAUGAUAAUACUUGUAUGCAAAAAUAUAUUGGCCAUGUUGUUAAUGGAAAUGAUUAUUUGACAAUUACAUGCAAUUGAAUAGAUGAUAGUACUUGUAUGAAAAAACGUAUUAUCGCUUUUAAAUAUGAUGAAGAUUAGAGUCAUGUUGAUGCGUUUAUAAGUAGUACUAUUGUUGAAGUUGUUGAAUUUUAUAAUCUAAACAAAAAAGUAUUGUGUAUGUCAUUUGAUAAUGCUUCUAACAAUAAUGCCGCAAUUUCAAUUUUAAAAAUGCAUUUGCAACCACCUUUUGAUGAUAUUUUUCAUGUUAGGUGUGCAUGUCAUGUUUAUAAUUUAAGUGUUAAAAGUGGUUUUGAUUUAUUUUCAGUUGAGAUUACUCAUGUUAGAAGAGCAAUUGGUGUUAUUCAAGAAAAUAAUAGACAAUCUAGAAUAAAUAAAUUUAAGACUAAGUGUAUCCAGUAUAACCUUAAACCUAGAUUCAUGUCAGACGAAAUUGUUACAAUCUAGGAUAAAAGAAUUUAAGACUUUUAUCUAGUAUAACCUUACACCUAGAUUCAUGCCAGACGAAAUUGUUACUAGAUGGAAUUAUACACAUAUAUUUUUAAAAUGUUGCUACAAAUAUAGAUUCUCAAUAACUGAAGUUGCUAAUGCACAUUGUACUGAUCCAAGGCGUAUGUUAAUAAGUGAUACUUGGGAAGUCAUUAAUGAUGUCAAAUUUUUACAUAAAUUUUAUACAGCUACUGUUGAGUUUUAUGGAGCAUAUUACCUCACUGUUACUAUGGCUUUAGUACAUAUAGCUGAAAUUUCUUUUCUACUAUUUGAAUUUAAGAANNN
rnacentral:lncRNA from 1 species